AUGGCGACCGGCGCACGGGUGAGUAACACGUAUCCACCUGCCGAUGACUCGGGGAUAGCCUUUCGAAAGAAAGAUUAAUACCCGAUGGCUCCGCAUGGUUAAAGAAUUUCGGUCAUCGAUGGGGAUGCGUUCCAUUAGGUUGUUGGCGGGGUAACGGCCCACCAAGCCUUCGAUGGAUAGGGGUUCUGAGAGGAAGGUCCCCCACAUUGGAACUGAGACACGGUCCAACUUUUACGGGAGGCAGCAGUGAGGAAUAUUGGUCAAUGGACGAGAGUCUGAACCAGCCAAGUAGCGUGAAGGAUGACUGCCUAUGGGUUGUAAACUUCUUUUAUACGGGAAUAAGUGAGGCACGUAUGCCUUUUUGUAUGUACCGUAUGAAUAAGGAUCGGCUAACUCCGUGCCAGCAGCCGCGGUAAUACGGAGGAUCCGAGCGUUAUCCGGAUUUAUUGGGUUUAAAGGGAGCGUAGGCGGACGUUUAAGUCAGUUGUGAAAGUUUGCGGCUCAACCGUAAAAUUGCAGUUGAUACUGGGUGUCUUGAGUACAGUAGAGGCAGGCGGAAUUCGUGGUGUAGCGGCGAAAUGCUUAGAUAUCACGAAGAACUCCGAUUGCGAAGGCAGCUUGCUGGACUGUAACUGACGCUGAUGCUCGAAAGUGUGGGUAUCAAACGGGAUUAGAUACCCCUGUAGUCCUGGCAGUAAACGGUGCACGCUUGGUGUCGGAACGACCCCUGCGUGCCGGAGCUAACGCGUUAAG
rnacentral:rRNA from 1 species